UGUCUUUUUGAUUAUAAUUUAAGGUUUAAUCUGCUCAAUGAUUAUUUAAAUUGCCGCAGUAUUUUGACUGUGCAAAGGUAGCAUAAUAAUUAGUUUCUUUAUUGGGAACUGGAAUGAAUGAUUGGACGAGAAAAUUUCUGUCUCUUUAUUAUUUUAAUUGAAUUUUACUUUUAAGUUAAAAGGCUUAAAUUUUAUUAGAGGACGAGAAGACCCUAUAGAGUUUAAUUUUUAUUUAAAUAAUUAUUUUUAGUAUUUAUAUAUAUUAUUUAAAUAAAAAUUUAGUUGGGGUGACUAAAAGAUAAGAAUAACUCUUUUAAUUUUUAUCAAUUAUUUUUGAUUAUAAAAUCUUUAUUUUUAAUUUUAAAAUAAAUUACCUUAGGGAUAACAGCGUAAUUCUUUUUUAAAGUUCUUAUUAAAAGAAGAGUUUGCGACCUCGAUGUUGGAUUAAAAUUAAUUUUAGGUGUAGAAGCUUGAAAAUUAAGUCUGUUCGACUUUUAAAAUUUUACAUGAUCUGAGUUUAAACCGGUGUGAGCCAGGUUGGUUUCUAUCCUUAAUUAUAUAUUAUAC
rnacentral:rRNA from 1 species